AGAGGUAACAGUUCACUCUUCAAAUCCUUUCUCCCAGCAAGAGAAGGGCAGACUCCUAUAUCCUGGCCUAAAGUCUAUAAGUGAUGGAAUGAGCAGUUAUCAAAAUGCCUGUAUUCAGAGAAAGAAUGGCUGAAAUCUGUGCCUAAUACAGUGGAGAAUUUGACAAGAAAAUGCUGUUCUUAAAUAAUGUGUCACCCAUAAACUGCCAAGGUAUCUCUGCACAUCCUAUAUCUGGCCUGAAGUAAAAAGCCUAUGUUUGGGAGUUCCAGACUCAUUUUCAGACGAACGGCUCAGAAGCUUCAGAAAGACAUCCAUUUCAACAAAAAUUGAAUAUAACAGAACUGGGAAAGGCAUACUCAAAAUUUCCUGUCACCAGCAAGCUGGUUUUAUAUCCUAGCAUCCUUUCAAUACACCUGGGCACUUAUAAGCAGAGUCAGGCACAAUAUAAUGUGAUUCCUAGGAAAGUGCAUCAAGCAUAAAAAGAUAGAGGAACAGUGAUGCAAUCAUCGUAAAACCUGACAGCUUGAUGGCAUAUGUCACAAACCAGCCAGCAAAAGUUGUUUAUACUGGCAAUCAGCCCCAACACAGGGACUUCUAAUAAAAGCUUUUUAAGGAAAAGACAGCAGCAUACGUGUGCACUACAUGAGCCAGGAGAGGGUACCUAUCAUGGCUUAUGAAAUAUUGUCAUAGAGUUGGUUACCAUUAAUAUAAUGAUCUUGCUGCAGGAGUGGAAAUACAAGAAAAAAUCAGGUAGUAGCUCAUGCAUCCAAACAGGCUCUAUGAAAUUCCCCUGUUCUUUACUUCUAUGAUGACUGUGUGUAUGUGUACAUCUGAAGUGGUAUAUAUUCAGCCAAUGGCAUCCAUGAUAAUUACAGGCAAAAUUAGUGCCUGGUAUGACUCAACUGAAGUCAAUGGAGUUACACUAUGGGAGAAUUUUAUCCCAUGUGAACAGUAAAUACUGCAGUUUAGUGCUGUUCACCAUGUAAGUGCUAGCAGUAAAUUUAAAUACAGCAAAUAUAUGGCUUUGUGAGCGGUGCUGUCUCCUGUCAGAUGCACCCUAUUCCCUUGACUGUAAUAUUGCUGUUGUCAGACAAUGGCACUGCAUG